AAGAUUCGGGUUUCGGCCCAAACCUUUCAUCGGCUGUGCGCUUCGGCUGCACGCCGUUGGAUUACCUUCACACCUGUGCACCCCUUCGGUCGCGGCGCUUUGCGGCGUCGCUUCCGCUUCACGUACAACUACAAAAGUCCAGAAUGUAAUAAACUUUAAACAUAA
rnacentral:misc_RNA from 1 species